AAGGAGUCUAACAUAUCUGCGAGUCUUUGGGUGUCAAACCCGAGUGCGCAAUGAAAGUGAACGUGGGAGCCACGCGCAAGCUGCAGCUUCGACCGAUCUGGAUCUUUAGUGAUGGAUUUGAGUAAGAGCAUAUAUGUUGUGACCCGAAAGAUGGUGAACUAUGCCUGAAUAGGGCGAAGCCAGAGGAAACUCUGGUGGAGGCUCGUAGCGAUUCUGACGUGCAAAUCGAUCGUCAAAUUUGGGUAUAGGGGCGAAAGACGACUCGAACCAUCUAGUAGCUGGUUCCUGC
rnacentral:misc_RNA from 1 species